rnacentral:rRNA from 1 species
GAUGAACGCUGACAGAAUGCUUAACACAUGCAAGUCAACUUGAACUUCGGUUUGGGUGGCGGACGGGUGAGUAACGCGUAACGAACUUGCCUCACAGCUAGGGACAACAUUUGGAAACGAAUGCUAAUACCUGAUAUUAUGAUUAUAUGGCAUCGUAUAAUUAUGAAAGCUAUAUGCGCUGUGAGAGAGCUUUGCGUCCCAUUAGCUAGUUGGAGAGGUAACAGCUCACCAAGGCGAUGAUGGGUAGCCGGCCUGAGAGGGUGAUCGGCCACAAGGGGACUGAGACACGGCCCUUACUCCUACGGGAGGCAGCAGUGGGGAAUAUUGGACAAUGGACCGAGAGUCUGAUCCAGCAAUUCUGUGUGCACGAUGAAGUUUUUCGGAAUGUAAAGUGCUUUCAGUUGGGAAGAAAAAAAUGACGGUACCAACAGAAGAAGUGACGGCUAAAUACGUG